GACAGAUUCAAAAAUUCCAGAUGCGCAAUCUGGAUACGAGAAGGGCUAUACUGUUUCAUUAGCUGGUCAUUCCGGUGCAAACUUGAUUUAUGAAUCU
rnacentral:ncRNA from 1 species